AAGUCGAGCGGGCGUAGCAAUACGUCAGCGGCAGACGGGUGAGUAACGCGUGGGAACGUACCUUUUGGUUCGGAACAACACAGGGAAACUUGUGCUAAUACCGGAUAAGCCCUUACGGGGAAAGAUUUAUCGCCGAAAGAUCGGCCCGCGUCUGAUUAGCUAGUUGGUAGGGUAACGGCCUACCAAGGCGACGAUCAGUAGCUGGUCUGAGAGGAUGAUCAGCCACAUUGGGACUGAGACACGGCCCAAACUCCUACGGGAGGCAGCAGUGGGGAAUAUUGGACAAUGGGGGCAACCCUGAUCCAGCCAUGCCGCGUGAGUGAUGAAGGCCCUAGGGUUGUAAAGCUCUUUUGUGCGGGAAGAUAAUGACGGUACCGCAAGAAUAAGCCCCGGCUAACUUCGUGCCAGCAGCCGCGGUAAUACGAAGGGGGCUAGCGUUGCUCGGAAUCACUGGGCGUAAAGGGUGCGUAGGCGGGUCUUUAAGUCAGGGGUGAAAUCCUGGAGCUCAACUCCAGAACUGCCUUUGAUACUGAAGAUCUUGAGUUCGGGAGAGGUGAGUGGAACUGCGAGUGUAGAGGUGAAAUUCGUAGAUAUUCGCAAGAACACCAGUGGCGAAGGCGGCUCA
rnacentral:rRNA from 1 species